rfam:Ciona savignyi cont_37149, whole genome shotgun sequence.
GCUUAUCACCAUUCCAGAUUGAAUAUACCCGAUCUCGUCUGAUCUCGGAAGUCAAGCAAUCUCGGGCUUGGUUAGUACUUGGAUGGGUGACCGCUUGAGAAUACAAGUGUGAUAAGCA